rnacentral:rRNA from 1 species
CGGGGUGAGUAACGCGUGGGUAACCUGCCUCAUACAGGGGAUAACAGUUGGAAACGGCUGCUAAUACCGCAUAAGCGCACAGUGCUGCAUGGCACAGUGUGAAAAACUCCGGUGGUAUGAGAUGGACCCGCGUCUGAUUAGCUGGUUGGUGGGGUAACGGCCUACCAAGGCGACGAUCAGUAGCCGGCCUGAGAGGGUGAACGGCCACAUUGGGACUGAGACACGGCCCAA